ensembl:snoRNA SNORD14 Small nucleolar RNA SNORD14
CCACUGUGAUGACGUUUUUUCCUGCCAUUCGUAGUUUACACCAGAGGUCUCACGACCAAAGAUGGCCAAAAUCCUUCCUUGGAUGUCUGAGUGG